UGGGGAAUAUUGGACAAUGGGGGGAACCCUGAUCCAGCAAUGCCGCGUGUGUGAAGAAGGCCUGAGGGUUGUAAAGCACUUUCAGUUGGGAGGAGUUAACUUUUGCGAAUAGUGAGGGUUAAGGACGUUACCGACAGAAGAAGCACCGGCUAACUCCGUGCCAGCAGCCGCGGUAAUACGGAGGGUGCGAGCGUUAAUCGGAAUUAUUGGGCGUAAAGGGUGCGCAGGUGGUUAGAUAAGUUAUCUGUGAAAGACCUGGGCUUAACCUGGGACAGUCAGAUAAUACUGUUGAACUUGAGUAUGGGAGAGGGCAGUGGAAUUUCCGGUGUAGCGGUGAAAUGCGUAGAUAUCGGAAGGAACACCAGUGGCGAAGGCGGCUCACUGGACGUGUAUUGACGCUGAGGUACGAAAGCGUGGGGAGCAAACAGGAUUAGAUACCCCGGUAGUCCCUGAGCGGGCUGGCAAGGCGCAU
rnacentral:rRNA from 1 species